GGCCCGGUUGGACGGUCUGCUCUAGGGCUUGUACUGUCCUGACUGGGUCUUCCCUUCUGGUAAACUGUCAUGUUGUUCACUCAGUGUGGCAGGGAACCAGGACUUUUACUUUGAAAAAAUUAGAGUGUUUAAAGCAGGCAUUCGCUUGAAUACAUUAGCAUGGAAUAAUAGAAUAGGACUUUGGUUCUAUUUUGUUGGUUUCUAGGACUAGAGUA
rnacentral:rRNA from 1 species